CCUACGGGAGGCAGCAGUGAGGAAUAUUGGUCAAUGGGCGCGAGCCUGAACCAGCCAAGUAGCGUGAAGGAUGACUGCCCUACGUGUUGUAAACUUCUUUUAUAAAGGAAUAAAGUGAGGCACGUGUGCCUUUUUGUAUGUACUUUAUGAAUAAGCAUAGGCUAACUCCGUGCCAGCAGCCGCGGUAAUACGGAGGAUGCGAGCGUUAUCCGGAUUUAUUGGGUUUAAAGGGAGCGUAGAUGGCUCGGUAAGUCAGUUGUGAAAGUUGGGGGCUCAACCGUAGAAGUGCAAUCGAUACUGGCAGCCGUGAGUACAGUUGAGGUAGGCGGAAUUCGCGGUGUAGCGGUGAAAUGCUGAGAUAUCACGCAGAACUCCGAUUGCGAAGGCAGCCUACGAAACUGCCACUGACAUUGAGGCUCGAAAGUGUGGGUAUCAAACAGGAUUAGAUACCCGAGUAGUC
rnacentral:rRNA from 1 species